rnacentral:rRNA from 1 species
AUGACUUCUCGUAGUGAAGUGUUGUCUAUUUAUAAGCGUUUUGCUGCCAUGGUUCAUACUCAAUUCUCUUCCCGCAUUCGUGUUUUUCGUGCUGACUCUGCUGGCGAGUAUAUCUCUAAGAUGUUGCGUGGUGUUCUUGCUGAGCAAGGAACUCUCUCUCAAUUCUCUUGUCCUGGUGCUCAUGCUCAAAAUGGCGUGGCUGAGCGAAAGCAUCGACAUCUUCUUGAGACGGCUCGUGCGUUGAUGAUUGCUGCCUCUCUCCCGCCUCAUUUUUGGGCUGAGGCCGUCUCCACCUCCACCUAUCUUAUCAAUAUACAGCCUUCCGCUGCUCUACAGGGUGGUGUUCCUUUCGAGCGUCUUUUUGAUCGUUCUCCUGAUUAUUCGAUGCUUCGCUUGUUUGGUUGUGUUUGCUAUGUUCUUCUUGCCCCUCGCGAACGCACCAAACUGACCGCUCAGUCUGUUGAGUGUGUCUUCUUAGGCUACAGUGAUGAGCAUAAGGGUUAUCGUUGUUGGGAUCCUAUCGGUCGUCGGAUGCGUAUCUCUCGAGACGUGACUUUUGAUGAGUCUCGUCCCUUCUAUCCACGCCCAUCUUCCUCGACUUUUUCAGUGGAGGAUAUCUCUUUCCUCACUUUUCCUGACUCACCUCUCACCCCCGUCGAGCCUGUGCCUAUUCGUUCCACUCCCUAUGCUUCUCCACCUCUAGUCGAUUUGCAGCCACCAUCUUCCCCGGUCUCCUCACCUAGCAUGUCACCAGAUUCUACACCUUCAUCUCCGGUGACUUCUUCUUCGCCACCCCCUGAUUCUACCUUGGCGAUUCCUCCUUCUAUUGUGCCAUCUUUUCCUCAGCAUUACACUCGUCGUUCAUGA